UAGGGAAUCUUCGGCAAUGGACGAAAGUCUGACCGAGCAACGCCGCGUGAGUGAAGAAGGUUUUCGGAUCGUAAAACUCUGUUGUUAGAGAAGAACAAGGACGUUAGUAACUGAACGUCCCUUGACGGUAUCUAACCAGAAAGCCACGGCUAACUACGUGCCAGCAGCCGCGGGAAUACGUAGGUGGCAAGCGUUGUCCGGAUUUAUUGGGCGUAAAGCGAGCGCAGGCGGUUUCUUAAGUCGGAUGUGAAAGCCCCCGGCUCAACCGGGGAGGGUCAUUGGAAACUGGGAGACUUGAGUGCAGAAGAGGAGAGUGGAAUUCCAUGUGUAGCGGUGAAAUGCGUAGAUAUAUGGAGGAACACCAGUGGCGAAGGCGGCUCUCUGGUCUGUAACUGACGCUGAGGCUCGAAAGCGUGGGGAGCAAACAGG
rnacentral:rRNA from 1 species